rnacentral:lncRNA from 1 species
CCAACAUCUUAGCCUUCUUCAAUUAACUGAACAAUGGGGAGUACCAAAUAUACAAAAGGGAGUACCAAAUAUACAAACAAACAACAUCUUAGCCUUCUUCAACUAACUGAACAAUUGGGAGUACCAAAUAUACAAACGGGAGUACCAAAUAUACAAACUAGGUUGUGUACACAAAUUAUCCCAGAGCAUAUACACUACAAAUGCAAGCUACAUAUACGUGAACUGGACAACAACUAAAUUCCCAAACUACAUGUCGACGUUGAGUGCCACCAUCAGCCAUUUCAAUCACACCACAAGUCCGGUGUCUAUAUCAACUUCGCUUCCGCUCGCUGAUUUUUCUUCAAGAUUACAAAUCACAAUGUGAAUGAAUCAGAUCUAAACAACGGAAAACAUAGAUCCCAAAAAUUGCAGCUUAAUCAACAAAAAACACACAAGCACUCAAAUAUAUCUCAAAAAGAUUUUAAAAAUAAAAAAGAAAAAAAGAAAUAGAUAUAACUAGUAUGUAUAAAGCAAGGAAAAUCCCGCUAAAUACGUGUAUUUGACGAAGGUACGGCGCGACAGUGAAGAUAGGGGGUUUGAAUUUUGAAUUUUGGGUCUUCUUCCUGUUCAAUUUCGAGAGAGAGAAGCUGUGAUGUUGGUAAGAGCCUUAUUGUGGUUUCAGCUAUCAGCCCGGUAUGGCGCCAAGUUCGGCGAAGGAGUGGCCUGACUGCGGAGAUGGAGGGUUUGUAUUUACAAUUCUUACGUCUUCUUUCGGUUCCAUUUUGGAGAUAGAAGAUGGGGUGGUUUUUACUGUGGUUUUCUAAUAUAUCAGCAGUGAG